GGGUGAGUAACACGUGGGCAACCUGCCUUUCAGACUGGGAUAACCCCGGGAAACCGGGGCUAAUACCGGAUAACCAGCCGGUUCGCAUGAACCGGCUGUAAAAGAGGGGAGUUUUCUCCUCUCACUGAAAGAUGGGCCCGCGGCGCAUUAGCUAGUUGGUAAGGUAGUGGCUUACCAAGGCGACGAUGCGUAGCCGACCUGAGAGGGUGAUCGGCCACACUGGAACUGAGACACGGUCCAGACUCCUACGGGAGGCAGCAGUAGGGAAUCAUCCGCAAUGGGCGAAAGCCUGACGGUGCAACGCCGCGUGAACGACGAAGGUUUUCGGAUCGUAAAGUUCUGUUGUGAGGGAAGAACACGUGCCGGUCAAACAGGCCGGCACCUUGACGGUACCUCACGAGAAAGCCCCGGCUAACUACGUGCCAGCAGCCGCGGUAAUACGUAGGGGGCAAGCGUUGUCCGGAAUUAUUGGGCGUAAAGCGCGCGCAGGCGGUCUUGUAAGUCUGAUGUGAAAGCCCACGGCUCAACCGUGGAGGGUCAUUGGAAACUGCAGGACUUGAGUGUAGGAGAGGAAAGUGGAAUUCCACGUGUAGCGGUGAAAUGCGUAGAUAUGUGGAGGAACACCAGUGGCGAAGGCGACUUUCUGGCCUACAACUGACGCUGAGGCGCGAAAGCGUGGGGAGCAAACAGGAUUAGAUACCCUGGUAGUCCACGCCGUAAACGAUGAGUGCUAGGUGUUAGGGGUUUCGAUGCCCUUAGUGCCGAAGUUAACACAUUAAGCACUCCGCCUGGGGAGUACGGCCGCAAGGCUGAAACUCAAAGGAAUUGACGGGGGCCCGCACAAGCAGUGGAGCAUGUGGUUUAAUUCGACGCAACGCGAAGAACCUUACCAGGUCUUGACAUCCGUUGACCGCUCUGGA
rnacentral:rRNA from 1 species